GCUUGACCGAUCGACUGACCGAU
rnacentral:snRNA from 1 species